rnacentral:rRNA from 1 species
CACGAACGCUGGCGGCAGGCUUAACACAUGCAAGUCGAGCGCCCCGCAAGGGGAGCGGCAGACGGGUGAGUAACGCGUGGGAAUCUACCCAUCUCUACGGAAUAACGCAUGGAAACGUGUGCUAAUACCGUAUACGUCCUUCGGGAGAAAGAUUUAUCGGAGAUGGAUGAGCCCGCGUUGGAUUAGCUAGUUGGUGGGGUAAAGGCCUACCAAGGCGACGAUCCAUAGCUGGUCUGAGAGGAUGAUCAGCCACACUGGGACUGAGACGCGGCCCAGACUCCUACGGGAGGCAGCAGUGGGGAAUAUUGGACAAUGGGCGCAAGCCUGAUCCAGCCAUGCCGCGUGAGUGAUGAAGGCCCUAGGGUUGUAAAGCUCUUCCACCGGUGAAGAUAAUGACGGUAACCGGAGAAGAAGCCCCGGCUAACUUCGUGCCAGCCGCCGCAGUAAAAC